rnacentral:precursor_RNA from 1 species
UCAGCUUCGGGCCUAGAUCCUGGCCUUUGGGAUUCAGCUUGAUGGUCGGGCUCUCCCGGAGCAGAGG